AGCCCAUCAAACUAGUGUUGUAGUGGUGUGUACUAGGAACUAACAAAUAGGAAUGUAUUAGUUUUUGUGUGAAUUUGAUUCAGUUUCUAAUAAGGCAUUAUCAUUCAAUAUUAUUCUUCCCUCGAGUAGAAAUCAAUAUUAAAGACUUGGAACUUUCUUCAAUUACUACACUUUCUCCUGUUAAAACUAUGGUUUUCUACCUUCUAGUCCGCCUCUCUCACAUCCACAACCGCGUGCUUUUGAUGUUCGGUAUUUUGCUUUAAUUCGAUGCUCGGCUUAUGUUUAUAUAUGGCCUUUCUAAGGCUUCCAGUUAGUAAAUUACUAAGAGAUAGAGAAUAACAUUUAUACCGGAUACGAAUAAAUUCAACAACUGGAUUCAAUUUUUAUGUAUCAAAUUUAAAUCAGCAUUAGUAUCAUGGAAUAAUUAAGAAUAUUAAGAGUCUAGGAAAAACUCAUUUAAAACAAAUAAAUAGCUAGAUGGACAGAUAUAGAAUUUAAGCACGACAGUUAACUACAUAGGACGGAAUUUAUUCAUAUCCAGUAUAAAUGUUAUUCUCCAUA